GACGAACGCUGGCGGCGUGCUUAACACAUGCAAGUCGAACGGAAAGGCCCUGCUUUUGUGGGGUGCUCGAGUGGCGAACGGGUGAGUAACACGUGAGUAACCUGCCCUUGACUUUGGGAUAACUUCAGGAAACUGGGGCUAAUACCGGAUAGGAGCUCCUGCUGCAUGGUGGGGGUUGGAAAGUUUCGGCGGUUGGGGAUGGACUCGCGGCUUAUCAGCUUGUUGGUGGGGUAGUGGCUUACCAAGGCUUUGACGGGUAGCUGGCCUGAGAGGGUGGCCGGCCACAUUGGGACUGAGAUACGGCCCAGACUCCUACGGGAGGCAGCAGUGGGGAAUAUUGCACAAUGGGCGGAAGCCUGAUGCAGCAACGCCGCGUGCGGGAUGACGGCCUUCGGGUUGUAAACCGCUUUCGCCUGUGACGAAGCGUGAGUGACGGUAAUGGGUAAAGAAGCACCGGCUAACUACGUG
rnacentral:rRNA from 1 species